rnacentral:rRNA from 1 species
GAUGAACGCUGGCGGCGUGCCUAAUACAUGCAAGUCGAGCGAACAGACGAGGAGCUUGCUCCUCUGACGUUAGCGGCGGACGGGUGAGUAACACGUGGAUAACCUACCUAUAAGACUGGGAUAACUUCGGGAAACCGGAGCUAAUACCGGAUAAUAUAUUGAACCGCAUGGUUCAAUAGAGAAAGACGGUUUUGCUGUCACUUAUAGAUGGAUCCGCGCCGCAUUAGCUAGUUGGUAAGGUAACGGCUUACCAAGGCAACGAUGCGUAGCCGACCUGAGAGGGUGAGCGGCCACACGGGAACUGAGCCACGGCCCAGACUCCUACGGGAGGCAGCAGUAGGGAAUCUUCCGCAAUGGGCGAAAGCUUGACGGAGCAACGCCGCGUGAGUGAUGAAGGUCUUCGGAUCGUAAAACUCUGUUAUUAGGGAAGAACAAAUGUGUAAGUAACUAUGCACGUCUUGACGGUACCUAAUCAGAAAGCCACGGCUAACUACGUG